rnacentral:rRNA from 1 species
CCUACGGGAGGCAGCAGUCGAGAAUCAUUCACAAAGGGGGAAACCCUGAUGGUGCGACGCCGCGUGGGGGAAUGAAGGUCUGCGGAUUGUAAACCCCUGUCAUGUGGGAGCAAAUUAAAAAGAUAGUACCACAAGAGGAAGAGACGGCGAACGCUGUGCCAGCAGCCGCGGUAAUACAGAGGUCUCAAGCGUUGUUCGGAAUCACUGGGCGUAAAGCGUGCGUAGGCUGUUGCGUAAGUCGUGGGUGAAAGGCGCGGGCUCAACCCGCGGACGGCACAUGAUACUGCGAGACUAGAGUAAUGGAGUGGGAACCGCACUUCUCGUUGUAGCCGU